rnacentral:tRNA from 1 species
CUCGCCGUCGUCUAAUGGAUCAGACGCAUGCCUCCUAAGCGUGAAAUACAGGUUCGAUUCCUGUCGGCGGGACCA